GGCAUUGUGGUUUUACAUGUACACGUGUGUUAGUGUGUUGUUUUAUCUGUUGAAUAUUCAAAUAAUUUAGUGUGUAGUGUGAAAGUAGAAAGUUUUACAUGUCAUGUGAAACUUCGGAAUAUUUUUAACUUUAUUUAUAAAAUAGUUUUAUCGUCUCUGACAUGUGCUGUUUAGUAAACACCUAUUUGAACACCGCUAACCUCACUAACAAUCAGAAACAUGGACAAAUGUAUGUUUAGGCCGAUAAGAAGUCCUGGCUUUCCAGAUGUGUCAGCUACUGAUAUGGGUUAUGGAUGAAUUUUAGUGAACACAUCCAGGAACACUCGCUGAAUGCAGGUUGCAGCUGUCAGUUACAUACCCAUAAGAAUAGCGGUUGUUCGGAGUACAUUGAGGAAUAGACGAUAGUCUGGCUCUAUGAUGAAGACGGCUGAAACGCUACCAAAGCCAUUACAAGCGCAAGACUCGAGUAAACAAAGAGAAAAACAACGAAGUUUGUGAAAUAGUGUGGAACAGUAGCGUUGGUUCUGUUGUAAUUCAUUUUUACAAGCACUCCGCUCAAUUUACGAUCAAAUAAUUUUGGUUGAAUGAUCUUUCAUUAGUUGAUAUUAUGUAAUUCGCAUGUACUUUCAACCAUGUUACAUAAAAACCAUAACCACCAAAACGACAAUAACCAAUCAGGGCUAACAUUAGCUUUUAAUGUUUUCAUUCACAAAAUUAUUUUUGAUAUUUCAUGUUCACAUUUUUACAAAGGUAAUAUAGUUGGGAAGUGUUUA